rnacentral:lncRNA from 1 species
CUAAUUAAGUUGCGCAUGCAUGCUUUAAGAUUUAAGUAUUUGACACCGGAGGGAGAGAACGAUUUAACUAUAUUAUAUACCUUUACUCAGCUAUUCGCCAAAAGGGCCGGUUAUGGAAAAAGAGCUAGUAUUUCUUUGUUUUUGUUGGGGUAGCCCAUCUAAUGAGAGCUUCAUCAUGAUGCCACACACCAUUACGAAA